rnacentral:lncRNA from 1 species
GUUUACCUGGCUUUUGAGUUUAAAAAGCAGCCUUUUUUAUAAGAUAAAAAGAAGCUUACCUAUUAGACCCUCACUUAUAUAUAGCAAAGACUGGGCCCAUAGCACAUAUUUAACAUACACACUCACAUGUACACACUCCAUUUAUUUAAAAAAAAUUAUUAAUCUGGGAGCAAAUCUUCCACUUUUUCUCUUUCUCAGCUUCUUAGUAUGAAUAGCUCUGCCAAACAUCUGUAGGUUUAAAAGAAGUUCAAAGCAAGGUAGAAAGAAAAGAAAUCCACUUAAAGUAUCUCAGCUGGACUGCUGUCACUCUGUACAAGGUUUGAAUGUGAUUUGGACACCAACACACCAAGCUAAGCUUUGUGUGAGGAAGUAAAUGUUAGACUGAAAUGGGAAACUGAAGAAGGUCAUUCUUCCUUUGUUGAGCUUCUCCUCCUUGUCAAACCCCUGGGCUGCAUGUUGUAGUUCUUGUUUGUCACUGAUAGCCUAUCACAAAGCCCCUUCUGUUACGGUGGCGUACCUGAAACUCCCACUAGCCAGCAGAGCAUAAACAGCAAGGUGGAGCCGCCAUCCAAAAACCUCUCACACACAAUAGCUACUGCUGUCGCAGCAGGACAAUUGAGUGGAUCUUGUGGUGGUAUAUUUUUUCCCAUCAUAUGCAUGACAGAAAGUCUAAUGGACCUUGUUAGUUUCUUGAGUAGCUUUUAGGGCCCUAUAAAAUGGCCUGUUAUCAGUUUCAUCAGUGUUCCCAAGAUGUCUACCUGGAUGUCAGAGAUUCCUGGAAGUAGCUGUAUGUUCAGUCUUCUAGUCAGCAAGGAGCAGGGACAUGGAUGAAUCUGGAGAACAUCAUCCUCAGCAAACUGACACAAGAACAGAAGAUGAAACACCGCAUAUUCUCACUCAUAGGCGGGUGAUGAAAAAUGAGAACACAUGGACACAGAAAGGUACUCUAGUAUGUUAUUGAAAAGGCACCACCACUGGGGAAACCUCAACUCAAAUCUCUACCCAGGUUCUACUUUGAACUGUUUUCUAAGCAUACGUAACAACACCAUUAAAAGAGUCUCCUGA